UACGUAGGGGGCGAGCGUUGUCCGGAAUCAUUGGGCGUAAAGCGUGUGUAGGCGGAAUUGUAAGUACCUUGUGAAAUCCCACGGCUCAACCGUGGAACUGCUCGGUAUACUGCUUUUCUUGAGCCACUUAGGGGCUGUCGGAACAAACGGUGGAGCGGUGAAAUGCGUAGAUAUCGUUUGGAACGCCAAUGGUGAAAACAGACAGCUGGGAGUGUGCUGACGCUGAGACACGAAAGCCAGGGGAGCGAACGGG
rnacentral:rRNA from 1 species